rnacentral:lncRNA from 1 species
AGUCAAUGUCGUGUAAGCCAGUCCACCUUUCUACAGCUCACCAGCUGCAUUCAGUGCCUGGCAAAUACUCCGUCCAGGGGGCUGUAUGGAUGCACUCUACACUUGUCUAUGCCCUCAGAAGCUGCCAUUGCUGCACCACCUGCAGAGCAGAUCAUCUAUCUGUACACCCAUACAGCUUCAGGUGACCUAGAAUUACACAUCCUGAGAUCAUGCUAGACCAAAAUAAGCUGCUCCUCGUGUGGCUACAGUAAGAUUUCAAGUGGCCUUUCCACUUCGGCUGUCACGGAGCCCGAGGAAUGACUGAAGUAAAUGGAGACUGUGCUGGCUGGGCAGCUGUCUUCAGUCACUUCUCACUUAGGCAACCCGGUGCGUGUGUUUGCGAAAUGCCACGCUCUCCCAGGGAAAUCUCUGCCAGUACCACGUUAAC